rnacentral:rRNA from 1 species
CGCCGACGGGAGGCAGCAGUGGGGAAUAUUGGACAAUGGAGGAAACUCUGAUCCAGUGACGCCGCGUGAAGGAAGAAGGUCUUCGGAUUGUAAACUUAUUUUAUCAGGGAAGAAGAAAGUGACAGUACCUGAAGAAAAAGGACCGGCAAACUACGUGCCAGCAGCCGCGGUAAUACGUAGGGUCCAAGCGUUAUCCGGAUUUACUGGGUGUAAAGGGCGAGUAGACGGCGCUGUAAGUCAGCUGUGAAAACUUAGGGCUCAACCUUAAGCCUGCAGCUGAAACUGUAGUGCUAGAGUGCAGGAGAGGUAAGCGGAAUUCCUAGUGUAGCGGUGAAAUGCGUAGAUAUUAGGAGGAACACCAGUGGCGAAGGCGGCUUACUGGACUGUAACUGACGUUGAGGCGCGAAAGUGUGGGGAGCAAACAGGAUUAGAUACCCUGGUAGUCCACACCGUAAACGAUGGAUACUAGGUGUAGGCGAGAUAUCGUCUGUGCCGGCGCAAACGCAAUAAGUAUCCCACCUGGGGAGUACGGCCGCAAGGUUGAAACUCAAAGGAAUUGACGGGGGCCCGCACAAGCAGUGGAGUAUGUGGUUUAAUUCGACGCAACGCGAAGAACCUUACCAAGACUUGACAUAUACAUGAAAGCCUAAGAGAUUAGGCCCCUCUUCGGAGUGUGUAUACAGGUGAUGCAUGGUUGUCGUCAGCUCGUGUCGUGAGAUGUUAGGUUAAGUCCUGCAACGAGCGCAACCCUCGUGAUUAGUUGCCUGAAGAAGGAACUCUAAUCAGACUGCCGUAGUUAAUACGGAGGAAGGUGAGGAUGAUGUCAAAUCAUCACGUCCCUUAUGUCUUGGGCUACACACGUACUACAAUGGGUGUUACAGAAAGAAGCGAAACCGCGAGGUGGAGCAAAACUCAGAAAAGCACCCCUAGUUCGGAUUGGAGGCUGCAACCCGCCUCCAUGAAGCUGGAAUUGCUAGUAAUCACAGGUCAGCAUACUGUGGUGAAUACGUUCCCGGGCCUUGUACACACCGC